rnacentral:rRNA from 1 species
AGGGUUCGAUUCUGGCUCAGGAUGAACGCUAGCUACAGGCUUAGCACAUGCAAGUCGAGGGGCAGCAUGGUCUAGCAAUAGACUGAUGGCGACCGGCGCACGGGUGAGUAACACGUAUCCAACCUACCGGCUAUUCCGGGAUAGCCUUUCGAAAGAAAGAUUAAUACCGGAUAGCAUAGCGAGAAGGCAUCUUCUUGCUAUUAAAGAAUUUCGAUAACCGAUGGGGAUGCGUUCCAUUAGUUUGUUGGCGGGGUAACGGCCCACCAAGACAUCGAUGGAUAGGGGUUCUGAGAGGAAGGUCCCCCACAUUGGAACUGAGACACGGUCCAAACUCCUACGGGAGGCAGCAGUGAGGAAUAUUGGUCAAUGGACGAGAGUCUGAACCAGCCAAGUAGCGUGAAGGAUGACUGCCCUAUGGGUUGUAAACUUCUUUUAUAUGGGAAUAAAGUGAGCCACGUGUGGCUUUUUGUAUGUACCAUACGAAUAAGGAUCGGCUAACUCCGUGCCAGCCGCUGC